GACGAACGCUGGCGGCGUGCCUAAUACAUGCAAGUAGAACGCUGAAGAGAGGAGCUUGCUCUUCUUGGAUGAGUUGCGAACGGGUGAGUAACGCGUAGGUAACCUGCCUUGUAGCGGGGGAUAACUAUUGGAAACGAUAGCUAAUACCGCAUAACAAUGGAUGACACAUGUCAUUUAUUUGAAAGGGGCAAUUGCUCCACUACAAGAUGGACCUGCGUUGUAUUAGCUAGUAGGUGAGGUAACGGCUCACCUAGGCGACGAUACAUAGCCGACCUGAGAGGGUGAUCGGCCACACUGGGACUGAGACACGGCCCAGACUCCUACGGGAGGCAGCAGUAGGGAAUCUUCGGCAAUGGGGGCAACCCUGACCGAGCAACGCCGCGUGAGUGAAGAAGGUUUUCGGAUCGUAAAGCUCUGUUGUAAGUCAAGAACGAGUGUGAGAGUGGAAAGUUCACACUGUGACGGUAGCUUACCAGAAAGGGACGGCUAACUACGUGCCAGCAGCCGCGGUAAUACGUAGGUCCCGAGCGUUGUCCGGAUUUAUUGGGCGUAAGGCGAGCGCAGGCGGUUUGAUAAGUCUGAAGUUAAAGGCUGUGGCUCAACCAUAGUUCGCUUUGGAAACUGUCAAACUUGAGUGCAGAAGGGGAGAGUGGAAUUCCAUGUGUAGCGGUGAAAUGCGUAGAUAUAUGGAGGAACACCGGUGGCGAAAGCGGCUCUCUGGUCUGUAACUGACGCUGAGGCUCGAAAGCGUGGGGAGCGAACAGGAUUAGAUACCCUGGUAGUCCACGCCGUAAACGAUGAGUGCUAGGUGUUGGAUCCUUUCCGGGAUUCAGUGCCGCAGCUAACGCAUUAAGCACUCCGCCUGGGGAGUACGACCGCAAGGUUGAAACUCAAAGGAAUUGACGGGGGCCCGCACAAGCGGUGGAGCAUGUGGUUUAAUUCGAAGCAACGCGAAGAACCUUACCAGGUCUUGACAUCCCGAUGCUAUUUCUAGAGAUAGAAAGUUACUUCGGUACAUCGGUGACAGGUGGUGCAUGGUUGUCGUCAGCUCGUGUCGUGAGAUGUUGGGUUAAGUCCCGCAACGAGCGCAGCCCCCAUUGUUAGUUGCCAUCAUUCAGUUGGGCACUCUAGCGAGACUGCCGGUAAUAAACCGGAGGAAGGUGGGGAUGACGUCAAAUCAUCAUGCCCCUUAUGACCUGGGCUACACACGUGCUACAAUGGUUGGUACAACGAGUUGCGAGUCGGUGACGGCAAGCUAAUCUCUUAAAGCCAAUCUCAGUUCGGAUUGUAGGCUGCAACUCGCCUACAUGAAGUCGGAAUCGCUAGUAAUCGCGGAUCAGCACGCCGCGGUGAAUACGUUCCCGGGCCU
rnacentral:rRNA from 1 species